rnacentral:rRNA from 1 species
UACAGAGGUCUCAAGCGUUGUUCGGAGUUCAUUGGGCGUAAAGGGUGCGUAGGCGGCGCGGUAAGUCGGGUGUGAAAUCUCGGAGCUUAACUCCGAAACUGCAUUCGAUACUGCCGUGCUUUGAGGACUGGAGAGGAGACUGGAAUUUACGGUGUAGCGGUGAAAUGCGUAGAUAUCGUAAGGAAGACCAGUGGCGAAGGCGGGUCUCUGGACAGUUCCUGACGCUGAGGCACGAAGGCCAGGGGGAGCAAACGGG